rnacentral:rRNA from 1 species
CCUACGGGAGUCAGCAGUGGGGAAUAUUGCACAAUGGGGGAAACCCUGAUGCAGCAACGCCGCGUGAGUGAAGAAGUAUUUCGGUAUGUAAAGCUCUAUCAGCAGGGAAGAAGAUGACGGUACAUGAUUAAGAAGCACCGGCUAACUACGUGCCAGAAGCCGAGGUAAUACGUAGGGGGCAAGCGUUAUCCGGAUUUACAGGGUGUAAAGGGAGCGCAGAGGGCAGUGCAAGUCUGGCGUGAAAGGCCGCGGCCCAACCCCGGAAUUGCACUGGAAACUGGGCGCCUGGAGUACUGGAAGGGCAGGCGGAAUUCCUGGUGUAGCGGUGAAAUGCGGAGAUAUUAGGAAGAACCCCGAUGGCGAAGGCAGCCUGCUGGACAGUAACUGACGUUGAGGCUCGAAAGCGUGGGGAGCAAACAGGAUUAGAUACCCGAGUAGUC